rnacentral:lncRNA from 1 species
AGGUGUUUUUGGAAUGGGGGCAGCAGAGCGGCUGAUGCAAGGCCCCAUUACUGAAGUUCUGAAUCUUACAUAUCUCACUGACCGUGGAAAAGUUAAGCUGGUGCCUAACUCGAGCCUUUACCCCCGGUGACUAGUGUUCAUGGAACUGGAUGGUAUCCUGGUACUCAGCAUGCCACCAGCGGAGAAAGGGUGGUAUUAGUGACCCUCCAUAUGGCUGCUCUUCAUGAUAACGAUGGAAUGGAAGCAGCCUCUAUGUCCAUUAACUGACUGAUGGGAGUGAGCGUGGGAUAGUUAUACAAUGGAAUAGCAUCCUGCUCUUACGAAGAAUGGAAUUUGCAGCUAAAUGGAUGGAACUGGAACCUGCUAGACCUUUGGAUGAAGACAUAGAAUUCUCAGCUCCUCCUGUGCCAUGCCUGCCUGGAUUCUGCCAUGCUCCCACCUUGAUGAUAAUGGACUGAACCUCUGAACCUGGUCCUGUUUGCAAUGGAAACUUGAGUGUUCUUGGGCAAGCCAGUUGUGUUUGUUACUUGUGUGCCGGGGCAAACAAGUAAAGGAGUGUUUUCCUGAAGUGGAUACAGGUGAAAGACUAAGGCAGACUCGUGAAGGAACACUGCUUUGAAGAAGACACAGGAGAAAGGAUGUUCUGCUAAAGCAAGCCCGUGAAAGGACAUGUGAUGAAGGAUUCUUUGUUAAUGACACACAUGUAUUGGUCUGCCUUACACUGUAAUUGAGCUCCAUUUACUUGUUGGGACUCCAUAACUUCUGGUGCAGUGCUGUAGUUUCUUGCCUCGUCUGUGGACUGGGGCUGUUUGGCAGAGUGAUGUCAGCUGAGACAGACUCAUGUGUUGAGGCAAGACAGGUGGAGGUCGUGUGAUGAUUGAUGGCUUGCUGGUACAGCUAGCUGUGCAAUGUUUGUGGGUCUCUUAUCUUCACUGAUCUUUGCUUUCCUGAGAAAGGCACAGCCAAGAACUUCUCCUGACACUCCUCUGCGUCCCUCCUGCUAACUUGAGCUGAGGCUGAGGCCUGGCUGUCUCUGCUAGGGCAUGUCACUGCUGUUGCUAACCUGACCCUACCAAAGUGGACUGCUGGUAUAUUCAUGAAGUAUUUGCAAGUGGAUGGAGCUGCCGCUGCCUGCUAACCUAUGAGCUGAACUGCUGAUUUCCAUACAACGCAGAUUGGAAUUGCUCCAAAGAACCUUUCUAAACAGGUCUACUUCCCCUGUAUCCUUUUUUCCCCAGUACCUCUGGUGGGUGGGUUAAAGUGUUUAAAAAAAAUCAUUAAAAAUAAGGUUUC